UGCCAUGGCUAGAGGCCUGAGAUAGC
rnacentral:piRNA from 1 species